UACGAAGGGGGCUAGCGUUGCUCGGAAUUACUGGGCGUAAAGGGCGCGUAGGCGGACAGUUUAGUCAGAGGUGAAAGCCCAGGGCUCAACCUUGGAACUGCCUUUGAUACUGACUGUCUUGAGUUCGGGAGAGGUGAGUGGAAUGCCGAGUGUAGAGGUGAAAUUCGUAGAUAUUCGGCGGAACACCAGUGGCGAAGGCGGCUCUCUGGGACGGUACUGACGCUGAGACGCGAAAGCGUGGGGAGCGAACAGG
rnacentral:rRNA from 1 species